rnacentral:misc_RNA from 1 species
GGACGAUUGCUCAACGCAGUCACGUUCUUUCCAUAUCUGAAUUGGACUACUAGCGGACCCAAGAAGUUUCCCAUUCUCAUCAAACAGACCAGCGCGGGCGCUGCCGGUGCCAACAUCGACGCCGAGGAAAACAGAGCGACGNGUGGCAGUGACGGUGGCUGACAUCUCGACGGAAAAAGAAGCGGAGGUGGAAGAGCGAUGAGAAGAAUCGUAGAGAGGAGAAGAACGUUGUUGUGGGUCAAGCAAUGGUGUGGUAUCCGACCACGGCCUCCUUUUACCAGACAUGUCCUUGUUUUUUCUAUUGAUUUAGUGAUUUUCUAUAGUUAUAUUUUUUUUUUUUGGGUUAAUUGUGGAAGAUUAGAGAUUCGGAUGAAAAAUCUGGAUUUUUUU